rnacentral:rRNA from 1 species
CUUAUUACACUUCAUAUAAGGUGAGACCUGCUCAAUGGCUACAAAUAAAAGAUAAUAGUAGUUAAAUAGCCGCGGUAACUCUGACCGUGAUAAAGUAGCAUAAUCACUCGUCAUUUAAUUGAUGACUGGAAUGAAUGGUUAUACGAAUCCUCAACUGUCUCAUUAAUAAGAUUAAUAAAAUUGAAUUAAUAGUGAAGAUACUAUUUAUUAAUUGUAAGACGAAAAGACCCUAUCGAGCUUUACUAAAUGCCUAAACCUAAAAAAAUAUACUACCAACAAUUAAAGUUUAGGACAACUAGUUUGGUUGGGGCGACCACCUCUAAAACAGUAUCAGAGGAAAUCUUAAGGUAAGUAACAAUAUAUAAUAGCCUAACUGCAUAUUUACUAAUUAACCAGAUACUAUAGGUAGGAUAUAAUGACCCGUUAAAGGAUUUUUAAAUUUAACGACUAUGAAAAAAGUUACCGUAGGGAUAACAGGGUAAUAUUUCUGAAGAGUUCAUAUCGAUAGAAAUGUUUGCCACCUCGAUGUUGAAUUGUGAUAUCCUAAAGGUGCAGCAGCUUUUAAGGGUUGGUCUGUUCGACCAUUAAAAU